CUGUGUUGUGAUAUGUGAUAAUCUAGAUGUACAUACCGGGGUCAUCAGGAGCACACAGGCAUGAAUUCUGUUCAUAACUGCUUCCAGGAGGAGACUCAAGGGCUGUUUCUUUUGCCUUCUUUUCUCAAACAAAGAAGCUUCACAGGAACAUUAAGACCGAAAGAGAACUGUGUUCUUAAAAAAAAAAAAAAAGAAAGAAAAAAGAAAGAAAGAAAGAAAUAAAAAAGA